CGAGCGACGGAGGGGUGAGUAAUGCGGAGGAAGUGGACUGGAGGGGGGGGACAACAGGUGGGAACGACUGCUAAUACCGCAUAAUGUCUACGGACCAAAGGGGGCUUCGGCUCUCGCCUUUAGAUUGGCCCAAGUGGGAUUAGCUAGUUGGUGAGGUAAUGGCUCACCAAGGCGACGAUCCCUAGCUGGUUUGAGAGGAUGAUCAGCCACACUGGGACUGAGACACGGCCCAGACUCCUACGGGAGGCAGCAGUGGGGAAUAUUGGACAAUGGGCGCAAGCCUGAUGCAGCCAUGCCGCGUGUGUGAAGAAGGCCUUCGGGUUGUAAAGCACUUUCAGUCAGGAGGAAAGGUUAGUAGUUAAUACCUGCUAGCUGUGACGUUACUGACAGAAGAAGCACCGGCUAACUCCGUGCCAGCAGCCGCGGUAAUACGGAGGGUGCGAGCGUUAAUCGGAAUUACUGGGCGUAAAGCGUACGCAGGCGGUUUGUUAAGCGAGAUGUGAAAGCCCCGGGCUCAACCUGGGAACUGCAUUUCGAACUGGCAAACUAGAGUGUGAUAGAGGGUGGUAGAAUUUCAGGUGUAGCGGUGAAAUGCGUAGAGAUCUGAAGGAAUACCGAUGGCGAAGGCAGCCACCUGGGUCAACACUGACGCUCAUGUACGAAAGCGUGGGGAGCAAACGGGAUUAGAUACCCCGGUAGUCCACGCCGUAAACGAUGUCUACUAGAAGCUCGGAGCCUCGGUUCUGUUUUUCAAAGCUAACGCAUUAAGUAGACCGCCUGGGGAGUACGG
rnacentral:rRNA from 1 species